rnacentral:rRNA from 1 species
CAGAAACUACAAAGGAAGUUGACGGGGCCCGCACAAGCGGUGGAGUAUGUGGUUUAAUUCGAUGCAACGCGAAGAACCUUACCUGGUCUUGACAUCCCGGAGACCCUUAGGAAACUAGGGGGUGCUUCCAUCUGGAAGAAUCUGGAGACAGGUGCUGCAUGGCUGUCGUCAGCUCGUGUCGUGAGAUGUUGGGUUAAGUCCCGCAACGAGCGCAACCCUUGCCUUUAGUUGCCAGCAGUUCGGCUGGGCACUCUAAAGGGACUGCCGGUGUUAAACCGGAGGAAGGUGGGGAUGACGUCAAGUCCUCAUGGCCUUUAUGACCAGGGCUACACACGUACUACAAUGGCCGAUACAAAGGGCAGCGACACUGCGAGGUGAAGCCAAUCCCGUAAAAUCGGUCUCAGUCCGGAUUGGAGUCUGCAACUCGACUCCAUGAAGUUGGAAUCGCUAGUAAUCGUGGAUCAGCAUGCCACGGUGAAUACGUUCCCGGGCCUU